AUAAUGGGUCAGCGACUUAUAUUCUGUAGCAAGGUUAACCGAAUAGGGGAGCCGAAGGGAAACCGAGUCUUAACUGGGCGUUAAGUUGCAGGGUAUAGACCCGAAACCCGGUGAUCUAGCCAUGGGCAGGUUGAAGGUUGGGUAACACUAACUGGAGGACCGAACCGACUAAUGUUGAAAAAUUAGCGGAUGACUUGUGGCUGGGGGUGAAAGGCCAAUCAAACCGGGAGAUAGCUGGUUCUCCCCGAAAGCUAUUUAGGUAGCGCCUCGUGAAUUCAUCUCCGGGGGUAGAGCACUGUUUCGGCAAGGGGGUCAUCCCGACUUACCAACCCGAUGCAAACUGCGAAUACCGGAGAAUGUUAUCACGGGAGACACACGGCGGGUGCUAACGUCCGUCGUGAAGAGGGAAACAACCCAGACCGCCAGCUAAGGUCCCAAAGUCAUGGUUAAGUGGGAAACGAUGUGGGAAGGCCCAGACAGCCAGGAUGUUGGCUUAGAAGCAGCCAUCAUUUAAAGAAAGCGUAAUAGCUCACUGGUCGAGUCGGCCUGCGCGGAAGAUGUAACGGGGCUAAACCAUGCACCGAAGCUGCGGCAGCGACGCUUAUGCGUUGUUGGGUAGGGGAGCGUUCUGUAAGCCUGUGAAGGUGUACUGUGAGGUAUGCUGGAGGUAUCAGAAGUGCGAAUGCUGACAUAAGUAACGAUAAAGCGGGUGAAAAGCCCGCUCGCCGGAAGACCAAGGGUUCCUGUCCAACGUUAAUCGGGGCAGGGUGAGUCGACCCCUAAGGCGAGGCCGAAAGGCGUAGUCGAUGGGAAACAGGUUAAUAUUCCUGUACUUGGUGUUACUGCGAAGGGGGGACGGAGAAGGCUAUGUUGGCCGGGCGACGGUUGUCCCGGUUUAAGCGUGUAGGCUGGUUUUCCAGGCAAAUCCGGAAAAUCAAGGCUGAGGCGUGAUGACGAGGCACUACGGUGCUGAAGCAACAAAUGCCCUGCUUCCAGGAAAAGCCUCUAAGCAUCAGGUAACAUCAAAUCGUACCCCAAACCGACACAGGUGGUCAGGUAGAGAAUACCAAGGCGCUUGAGAGAACUCGGGUGAAGGAACUAGGCAAAAUGGUGCCGUAACUUCGGGAGAAGGCACGCUGAUAUGUAGGUGAAGUCCCUCGCGGAUGGAGCUGAAAUCAGUCGAAGAUACCAGCUGGCUGCAACUGUUUAUUAAAAACACAGCACUGUGCAAACACGAAAGUGGACGUAUACGGUGUGACGCCUGCCCGGUGCCGGAAGGUUAAUUGAUGGGGUUAGCGCAAGCGAAGCUCUUGAUCGAAGCCCCGGUAAACGGCGGCCGUAACUAUAACGGUCCUAAGGUAGCGAAAUUCCUUGUCGGGUAAGUUCCGACCUGCACGAAUGGCGUAAUGAUGGCCAGGCUGUCUCCACCCGAGACUCAGUGAAAUUGAACUCGCUGUGAAGAUGCAGUGUACCCGCGGCAAGACGGAAAGACCCCGUGAACCUUUACUAUAGCUUGACACUGAACAUUGAGCCUUGAUGUGUAGGAUAGGUGGGAGGCUUUGAAGUGUGGACGCCAGUCUGCAUGGAGCCGACCUUGAAAUACCACCCUUUAAUGUUU
rnacentral:rRNA from 1 species